rnacentral:rRNA from 1 species
ACGAACGCUGGCGGCAGGCUUAACACAUGCAAGUCGAACGGCUGUAGCAAUACAGCAGUGGCAGACGGGUGAGUAACACGUGGGAACCUACCUAGGGGUACGGAAUAACUCGGGGAAACUCGUGCUAAUACCGUAUACGACCUUUGGGUGAAAGAUUUAUCGCCCCUAGAUGGGCCCGCGUUGGAUUAGCUAGUUGGUGGGGUAAAGGCCUACCAAGGCAACGAUCCAUAGCUGGUCUGAGAGGAUGAUCAGCCACACUGGGACUGAGACACGGCCCAGACUCCUACGGGAGGCUGCAGUGGGGAAUCUUGGACAAUGGGGGAAACCCUGAUCCAGCCAUGCCGCGUGAGUGAUGAAGGCCUUAGGGUUGUAAAGCUCUUUCGCCAGGGAAGAUAAUGACGGUACCUGGAUAAGAAGCCCCGGCAAACUUCGU